GCAGAUGAAGGCUUCCGGUUGUGCUGAUGCAGAUGUUGGCAUGUCAACUUGGAAAAGAGAGGGCAGGGGAACAAGCAUGAAUUGUGCCAGUAAUUUUUAUUUACAUGUCUCUUCCUUUCAAGUAUAAAGUGGGGCAAGAGGUUCUGAUUUUGACAUCCAAAGGGGCGCAAGGGUGAGAGGAGCCGAACCAUCCCCGAUCUUACUUCUCCAUCUCCCACUGCUUCUCCAUUGUUUACUGUGAAGGAAGGAGGCAUGGCAUCACCUAUAAACAUGGCUGACAUUGUCACACCUAGUAUCUGGUCCUCGGUUGAGUCAGUUGUCUCUGAACCCUGACUAAAUGAGAAGAAGCACAUUUCUCUAUGUCAGAGACCUGUUGUGAAGCUCAGUGUUUUAAAGGAUGCAGGGUGCUGAAGCACCACACACCAUUAAUAGGUGUUUUGUGCUACGUAUACUGAUUGAGUAGUAUUUUGUUUUUCUGCUAUAUCGAGCAAUUAGCAGGCUUUUCCUCUCUCCUGGAAGGAGUAGUGACACCAUAUGGUGGAAGGUAGGAUUUCCCUGACCGGUCCGGCUUUGUGCUUCAUAGAUAGGCCUUCCGAAGUGGCAGAUUUCAUAAGGGUGCCCCUUUGAAACUGAAAGAGCAAAAUACAUUUUCUCGUCUCUGUAGCGGGCGUCCAUGAAGCGGGAGCAGGAUGCCUUGAGGCCCCAACAACAGAGCUUCAAAACCAGAGAAUGAGCAAGCAUGCCGUUUCCCAGUCUCCUCUUAUCUGAUGUAGUCUCCAGAACAGACAGACAGGACUCCAGCAGUUAGUAUGAGGGGAAUGUGGGAGUUGGUAAAUAUACUAAGGCACAC